rnacentral:rRNA from 1 species
CAGCAGCCGCGGGAAUACGAAGGGUGCAAGCGUUACUCGGAAUUACUGGGCGUAAAGCGUGCGCAGGUGGUGGUUUAAGUCCGUUGUGAAAGCCCUGGGCUCAACCUGGGAAUUGCAGUGGAUACUGGGUCACUAGAGUGUGGUAGAGGAUAGUGGAAUUUCCGGUGUAGCAGUGAAAUGCGUAGAGAUCGGAAGGAACAUCUGUGGCGAGGCGACUAUCUGGGCCAACACUGACACUGAGGCACGAAAGCGUGGGGAGCAAACAGGAUUAGAUACCCCUGUAGUCCCUGUCUCUUAUACA